rnacentral:rRNA from 1 species
UAAAGUGGCGCACGGGUGAGUAACGCGUGGAUAAUCUGCCCUAUGAUCGGGAUAACAGUUGGAAACGGCUGCUAAUACCGGAUACGCUCAAAAUGAACUUUUUGAGGAAAGAUGGCCUCUGCUUGCAUGCUAUCACGUAAGGAUGAGUCCGCGUCCCAUUAGCUGUUGGCGGGUAACGGCCCACCAAGGCAACGAUGGGUAGCCGAUUUGAGAGGAUGAUCGGCCACACUGGAACUGAAACACGGUCCAGACUCCUACGGGAGGCAGCAGUGGGGAAUAUUGCGCAAUGGGCGAAAGCCUGACGCAGCGACGCCGCGUGAGGGAUAGAAGGUUUUCGGAUCGUAAACCUCUGUCAGAAGGGAAGAAACUACGUUGUGCUAAUCAGCAGCGUACUGACGGUACCUUCAAAGGAAGCACCGGCUAACUCCGUGCCAGCCGCUGC